UAUACAUAAAACUCUUUAUGUUUUUAAUAUAAUUUAGCAAAAAUAUGUCAAAGUUGAUAUAUUAUUGAUUAAAGAAAUACGAAAAUAGGAUUAAAUUGUGAGUAGUGUUUUGAAGUAGGUUUUUGAUUGUGAACCAGUUAGGAUAAAGUGCUGAAUGCAACUGAAUGUGAUGUUAGCAAGGGGGAAUGGAGGGUUGUAACAUUAAAAGUGAAAUAGAUCAGAAAAGAUACUGAAAGGAUUUUUGCCCAUUCAUAUUGUAGAUUAUAAAGAUAUAAAUACAAAAAAACAUAGCGUACAGUGAACUAUGUCAUGUUUUAUUCAGAAAUUUUGAAAUAGAAUCCUACGUACAACUUGCCAAAUGAUCCCAUACAGUUCGAAGAGCAAAGAUUAUUUUCAAACAGCACACAUCUCAAAUCAUCUGGUCACAGCUAGUAUUACAAAGAAAACGGUCGUUUUGUAUCAAGUUCUGUAAGACAUUAAUCGUCGAUCAAAACGAAAUUUAAAGGAGAAGGAGAA